AUACUUACCUAGCAGGAGAGGUACCAUGAUCAGAAAAGUGGUUCACGCAGGAUACAGUUCAGCCGUUGCACUCCGGUUGUUCUGACCCCAGCGAAUUCUCUAAAUGUGGGAAUCUUGAUUCCAUCAUUUCUGGUACUGGUGGACUGUGUUCGUGCUUUCCCGUG